AAUGAGAUGGCUAAGUUGGUAGAGCUCACCCUUUGUAAGGGAGAGGUCCCCAGUACGACUAAGGGUAUCAGCACCA
rnacentral:tRNA from 1 species